CCACGACAACCAAGGCAACUCUUAUAAAAUGAAGCACUUAAUUGGGCCUGGCUUACCAUUUCAGAGGGCGAAUCCAUUAUCCUCAUAUUGAGAGGCAGACAGGCAUGGUACUGUAGAUGAGAACUUUAUACCCUCAUCCACAGGCAGCUGGCAGCAGCCAGAAUGAGAGAGGGGUUGGGGGAGGGGAGAGAGGAGAGACAGACUAGGCCUAGUGUGGAUUUUUGAAACCUCAAAGCCCACUUCCAGCUGCACAGCUCUUUUAACAAGGACACAGCUCCUCCAACAGCCACAGCUCCCAAACACUUCAUCAAAUGGUGAUUUAUCAUGGAAAUAUAUGAGAAUGUAUGAGGUCAUUCUCAUUUAAACUACCAAUCAUGGGAUGGUUGCCUUGUCACAUGGGUGCUGGGAUCUAACUUCAAUUCUCAUGAUUACACAAUCGUGACACCACUACUGCUAUCCCAACACGAUUGAACUGGACUGCUGGUGUGCCUGUGAAGUGUUUCAGAGUGGACUGAGCUGCUGUUGCUGACCUGUAACCUGAACUGCUGAUUUCCUGACAAUGCAGAUGGCAUUUCCUUC
rnacentral:lncRNA from 1 species